rnacentral:rRNA from 1 species
ACUGCGAGUCUUGGGACCGAGAGACUUGAGGGGUACGUCCGGGGUAGGAGUGAAAUCCUGUUAUCCUGGACGGACCACCUUUGGAGAAAGCACUUCUGGAAAACGGACCCGACUGUGAGGGACGAAAGCUGGGGUCUCGAACCAUAUUAUAUACCCGGGUAGUCCUGGGUGUAAACUAUGUUUGCUAGUGUGUGGCGCCGCCAUGAGGCCUGUGGUGUGCCGAAGAGAAUACUAAAUCCACUGCGUGUGGAAAGUACGUCCGCGGGGAUGACUCUUAGGAGUUGUGGGGGGAGAGCUGCCACCGGAGGAGAGCGGGGUUUUAUUUGAUUCUACGGCCGAGAAUUCUCACCGGUCCAAUGUUAGAUGAAGAUCGUCAGUAUUGAGCUUAUCCUAUUAUCAGAGAGGUGGUGCAUGGCCGUCGUCAGUUCGUACUGUAAAGCGUUCUGUUAAGUCAGAUAAGGAACGAGUCCCGCAUCCCUAUUUGCGACCCUCAUGUCCGCAUGAGGCGCACCAUAGGGAGACCGCUGGUGUGAAACCAGAGGAAGGCGCGGGCUACGACAGGUCAGUAUGCCCCGAAUGUCUUGGGCUACACGCGCGCUACAAAGGACAGGACUAUGGGAUGCUAGGCCGAGAGGCACUCACGCUAACCCGAAACCUGUUCAUAGUUCGGAUUGAGGGCUGUAACUCGCCCUCAUGAAGCUGGAUUCCGUAGUAAUCGUGUUUCAAUAUAGCACGGUGAAUAUGUCCCUGCUCCUUGCAC